GAUGUACGCUAGCGGCAGGCUUAAUACAUGCAAGUCGAGGGACAGCACAGGUAGCAAUACUGGGUGGUAACCGGCAAACGGGUGCGGAACACGUACACAACCUUCCUCUAAGUGGGGGAUAGCCCAGAGAAAUUUGGAUUAAUACCCCGUAAUAUAGUUGAAUGGCAUCAUUUGAUUAUUAUAGCUACGGCGCUUAAUGAUGGGUGUGCGGCUGAUUAGAUAGUUGGCGGGGUAACGGCCCACCAAGUCUACGAUCAGUAGCUGAUGUGAGAGCAUGAUCAGCCACACGGGCACUGAGACACGGGCCCGACGCCUACGGGAGGCAGCAGUAAGGAAUAUUGGUCAAUGAACGCAAGUCUGAACCAGCCAUGCCGCGUGAAGGAUUAAGGUCCUCUGGAUUGUAAACUUCUUUUAUUUGGGACGAAAAAGGGCCUUUCUAGGUCAACUGACGGUACCAGAUGAAUAAGCACCGGCUAACUCCGUGCCAGCCGCCGCCGUAAGAC
rnacentral:rRNA from 1 species